UCGGAGUGCUUGCACUCUGUGAAACAAGAUACAGGCUAGCGGCGGACGGGUGAGUAACACGUGGGUAACCUGCCCAAGAGAUCGGGAUAACACCUGGAAACAGAUGCUAAUACCGGAUAACAACAGAUGAUGCCUAUCAACUGUUUAAAAGAUGGUUCUGCUAUCACUCUUGGAUGGACCUGCGGUGCAUUAGCUAGUUGGUAGGGGUAAACGGGCCUACCAAGGCGAUGAUGCAUAGCCGAGUUUGAGAGACUGAUCGGCCACAUUGGGACUGAGACACGGCCCAAACUCCUACGGGAGGCAGCAGUAGGGAAUCUUCCACAAUGGACGCAAGUCUGAUGGAGCAACGCCGCGUGAGUGAAGAAGGGUUUCGGCUCGUAAAGCUCUGUUGUUGGUGAAGAAGGACAGGGGGUAGUAACUGACCUUUGUUUGACGGUAAUCAAUUAGAAAGUCACGGGCUAACUACGUGCCAGCAGCCGCGGUAAAU
rnacentral:rRNA from 1 species